rnacentral:rRNA from 1 species
GGGAUUAGAUACCCCACUAUGCUUAGCCUUAAACCUAGAUGUUAAAUUUACAAGUAACAUCCGCCAGGGUACUACAAGCGCUAGCUUAAAACCCAAAGGACUUGACGGUGUCUCAGACCCACCUAGAGGAGCCUGUUCUAGAACCGAUAAUCCCCGUUAAACCUCACCACCCCUUGUUUAACCAGCCUAUAUACCGCCGUCGUAAGCUUACCCUGUGAAGGUAUCAUAGUAAGCAAAAUGGGUAGAUCCCAAAACGUCAGGUCGAGGUGUAGCUUACGAGGUGGGAAGAAAUGGGCUACAUUUUCUAUGUCAGAAUAUAAACGAACAGUACUAUGAAAUUAGUACUAGAAGGUGGAUUUAGAAGUAAAAAAAAAAUAGAGAGUCUUUUUGAACCAGGCUCUGAGACGCGUACACACCGCCC